rnacentral:rRNA from 1 species
GGAGUCUGGGCCGUAUCUCAGUCCCAAUGUGGCCGUUGAACCUCUCAGUCCGGCUACUGAUCGUCGCCUUGGUAGGCCUUUACCCCACCAACUAGCUAAUCAGCCGUAAGCCCAUCUAUUAGCGGAUUUCUCCUUUUCCACUAUAAUCAUGUGAUUAUUAUGGCAUAUGCGGUAUUAGCAGUCAUUUCUAACUGUUGUUCCCCUCUAAUAGGCAGGUUGCUUACGUAUUACUCACCAGUCCGCCACUAAAGCCAUUGUUGUAAGUCAAUUUCCAUUCCCUUUGAAUAAGUUCUCUGUUCAUUUCCACAUCAUUACAACGACUUCCGUUCGACUUGCAUGUCUUAUGUGCGCCGCCAGCGUUUAUC